rnacentral:rRNA from 1 species
UACGAAGGGGGCUAGCGUUGUUCGGAAUUACUGGGCGUAAAGCGUGCGCAGGCGGCUUCUCAAGUCAGGGGUGAAAGCCCAGAGCUCAACUCCGGAACUGCCAUUGAAACUGUGAGACUUGAGGACGAGAGAGGUGAGUGGAAUUCCCAGUGUAGAGGUGAAAUUCGUAGAUAUUGGGAAGAACACCGGUGGCGAAGGCGGCUCACUGGCUCGUUUCUGACGCUCAGGCGCGACAGCGUGGGGAUCAAACAGG